GUAUCUGAUGACCUUCACAGUCCUUAAGAGUAUAGGUAAAUACCUAGCAGUGAAAUGGCUGGAUAAAUCAAUCUAAGAUUUAUCACUUGUCCUUCAUUCUGCAAGUAUGCUACUUCCUAGGGC
rnacentral:lncRNA from 1 species